GGAGCCGGGGCCGGCGGCCUAACACAUGCAAGUCGAGCGGCAGCGGGAAAGUAGCUUGCUACUUUUGCCGGCGAGCGGCGGACGGGUGAGUAAUGCCUGGGAAAUUGCCCAGUCGAGGGGGAUAACAGUUGGAAACGACUGCUAAUACCGCAUACGCCCUACGGGGGAAAGCAGGGGACCUUCGGGCCUUGCGCGAUUGGAUAUGCCCAGGUGGGAUUAGCUGGUUGGUGAGGUAAUGGCUCACCAAGGCGACGAUCCCUAGCUGGUCUGAGAGGAUGAUCAGCCACACUGGAACUGAGACACGGUCCAGACUCCUACGGGAGGCAGCAGUGGGGAAUAUUGCACAAUGGGGGAAACCCUGAUGCAGCCAUGCCGCGUGUGUGAAGAAGGCCUUCGGGUUGUAAAGCACUUUCAGCGAGGAGGAAAGGUCAGUAGCUAAUAUCUGCUGGCUGUGACGUUACUCGCAGAAGAAGCACCGGCUAACUCUGUGCCAGCAGCCGCAA
rnacentral:rRNA from 1 species